AUAAUACCACAUGUAUCUCCCAACUUGUGACUCAGCCAAUCCCUCAAACCGACUCAAACCAGUAUAAAUCUGGUGAGCUACAGAAAAUUUAAUUUUUUCCCCAUCCUGAAAUUUCUAAACAAUAAAGCAGAUAUUCAUCCAAAACAUGGUUCAUCCCAACAGUUAUCACACCACGCAAUUUACCAACAAGCAGGUAAUAUUCUUUCUACAGCUCAAUAAUCCACUCAUAGACGGGAAUCAAGUACAACAGAGAUAAACAUCAAUUUUCUUUAAUAUCUACAGUAUACAUCUACUCUACAAAGAGUUAUAAACCAGAUAAUACAAUAAAAGAAGUUUGAUUAAAAAAAAAAAAAACUGGAUCUUGAGCAAUAGAUGGACUUAACUCCCAAAGAUAUCCCGAAUCGUUGAUUCCUGAAAUAGGAAAUAAUUUGAGAUCUAUUAGUUUGUGAUGUUAAAACUGAAAUAGAAAAUAGAUUGGAAGUUUGGAAGUCUGUUAAAAUAGGAUUUUGAACUGGGAAAUAGAGAAGAUGGAAGGAAGAAGGAGGGGAUUACCAGCCGCAGCCCCGAGCCGCCGCGGCGGAGGCGCGACUGGCAGCGGCAACCACUGGCGCUGGCCGCACCACCGUGGAUACAGACAAUCGAGAGAAAGAGGAAGGGUGAACGAGGGAGAUAAAGAGUGAGAUAGAGAGAGAUAGACGACAGAAAGAGGAAAAGGAAGGCAGAAUGAGAUGGAGGGAGAGCAGGGCGGCGGCGACCACCGGUGCUGCAUGCGUCGUCGCGGCUCGCAGCGGCCGCCGCGGCCUGGCCAGAAGAGAGAGAGAUCGAGAGGGAGAGCAGAGGAAGAGGAAAGAAGAGAAGGGGAGAGAGACAUGGGCUUACCUGAGUCAGAGGAGGCGGCGGCGCGACGCAGACAACGGCGGUGGAGGCAGGCCUCGCCGGAGAAACGAAUUCCAGAGGGGAAGAAGGGAGGUAGAAACCCUAGGAAUUAGAUUUUUUUAAUUUGGGGAUUUAGAUGUAGGGAAGGGAAGAAAAUAGAGGGGGAAGAGAGGGGCCGGCCGCGCCGCACCAGAGGCGGCGAGGACCGGUGACGUCCACCGGAGAGCGAGAGCUACUGAGAGACGCAGAAAGAGGGAGCGAAAAGAGAGAGAGAGAGCGUGUAAAGAAGAAAGGAAAAGUGAGAGAGAAAAAAGUGUUUUCCCAUUUAAUUAAAGAAGAUUCUAG
rnacentral:lncRNA from 1 species